GACGAACGCUGGCGGCGUGCCUAAUACGUGCAAGUAGAACGCUGAAGAGAGGAGCUUGCUCUUCUUGGAAGAGUUGCGAACGGGUGAGUAACGCGUAGGUAACCUGCCUUGUAGCGGGGGAUAACUAUUGGAAACGAUAGCUAAUACCGCAUAACAAUGGGUGACCCAUGUCAUUCAUUUGAAAGGGGCAACUGCUCCACUACAAGAUGGACCUGCGUUGUAUUAGCUAGUAGGUGAGGUAACGGCUCACCUAGGCGACGAUACAUAGCCGACCUGAGAGGGUGAUCGGCCACACUGGGACUGAGACACGGCCCAGACUCCUACGGGAGGCAGCAGUAGGGAAUCUUCGGCAAUGGGGGCAACCCUGACCGAGCAACGUCGCGUGAGUGAAGAAGGUUUUCGGAUCGUAAAGCUCUGUUGUAAGUCAAGAACGAGUGUGAGAGUGGAAAGUUCACACUGUGACGGUAGCUUACCAGAAAGGGACGGCUAACUACGUGCCAGCAGCCGCGGUAAUACGUAGGUCCCGAGCGUUGUCCGGAUUUAUUGGGCGUAAAGCGAGCGCAGGCGGUUUGAUAAGUCUGAAGUUAAAGGCUGUGGCUCAACCAUAGUUCGCUUUGGAAACUGUCAAACUUGAGUGCAGAAGGGGAGAGUGGAAUUCCAUGUGUAGCGGUGAAAUGCGUAGAUAUAUGGAGGAACACCGGUGGCGAAAGCGGCUCUCUGGUCUGUAACUGACGCUGAGGCUCGAAAGCGUGGGGAGCGAACAGG
rnacentral:rRNA from 1 species